rnacentral:rRNA from 1 species
UACGGAGGGAGCUAGCGUUAUUCGGAAUUACUGGGCGUAAAGCGCACGUAGGCGGCUUUGUAAGUUAGAGGUGAAAGCCUGGAGCUCAACUCCAGAAUUGCCUUUAAGACUGCAUCGCUUGAAUCCAGGAGAGGUGAGUGGAAUUCCGAGUGUAGAGGUGAAAUUCGUAGAUAUUCGGAAGAACACCAGUGGCGAAGGCGGCUCACUGGCCCGAUACUGACGCUGAGACACGAAAGCCAGGGGAGCAAACGGG